rnacentral:rRNA from 2 species
GACCUCAAAUCAGGUAAGAAUACCCGCUGAACUUAAGCAUAUCAAUAAGCGGAGGAAAAGAAAAUAACAAUGAUUCCCUCAGUAACGGCGAGCGAAGAGGGAUAAGCUCAAAUUUUAAAUCUGCUGGGUUUCACCUAACAGAGUUGUAUUUUGAAGAAACGUUUUCUGCGUCCAGGUUAGCCUAAGUCCUUUGGGAUAAGGUAUCAUGGAGGGUGAGAAUCCCGUUCAUGGUUAAUCUUAAGGAUGCUCUACGAUACGUUUUCCAAGAGUCGAGUUGUUUGGGAUUGCAGCUCAAAAUGGGAGGUAAAUUUCUCCUAAGGCUAAAUAUUGGCGAGAGACCGAUAGCGAACAAGUACCGUGAGGGAAAGAUGAAAAGAACUUUGAAAAGAGAGUUAAACAGUACGUGAAAUUGUUGAAAGGGAAACGAUUGAAGUCAGUCAUACCAACGGGAAAUCAACCUUUUGAGCUUUGUAUCGUGGGUUCGAAGAGUUUAAACGCCUUCGGGUUCGCGAGAUUGGGAUCUUCUGGUGUACUUUCUCGUACGGUUAGUCAACAUCGGUUUUGAAUGUCAUAAAAUGACUGGAGGAAUGUAGCUUCGAUCUCGUAUCGAAGUGUUAUAGCCUUUGGUAGAUGUGAUGUUUGAGACCGAGGAUUGCAACGGAUACCCUUUAAGGGCUAUUCGUCUGAUCUCUGAUACGUUACCUUGAUGUUGAAAGCUUGCUUAUGAUGUUAGGGUAUUACGGUCAAAAGGUUAGAACGGAUUAAAUUCGUUAAGGAUGUUGACGUAAUGACUUUAAACGACCCGUCUUGAAACACGGACCAAGGAGUCUAACAUAUAUGCGAGUGUUUGGGUGGUUAAACCCUUGCGCGUAAUGAAAGUGAUUUUGGUGAGAUCCGGGAAAAAUUUUUCGGAGCAUCAUCGACCGAUCAGGAUAUUU